UACGUAGGUGGCAAGCGUUGUCCGGAUUUACUGGGUGUAAAGGGCGCGUAGGCGGGGCAGCAAGUCAGGAGUGAAAUCUAUGGGCUUAACUCAUAAAUUGCUUUUGAAACUGUUGCUCUUGAGUAUCGGAGAGGCAGGCGGAAUUCCCAGUGUAGCGGUGAAAUGCGUAGAUAUUGGGAGGAACAUCAGUGGCGAAGGCGGCCUGCUGGACGACAACUGACGCUGAGGCGCGAAAGCGUGGGGAG
rnacentral:rRNA from 1 species